GACGAACGCUGGCGGCGUGCCUAAUACAUGCAAGUAGAACGCAGUUGCGAACGGGUGAGUAACGCGUAGGUAACUGCCUCAUAGCGGGGGAUAACUAUUGGAAACGAUAGCUAAUACCGCAUACUGUGAGAUGGACCUGCGUUGUAUUAGCUAGUUGGUGAGGUAAAGGCUCACCAAUGCGACGAUACAUAGCCGGCCUGAGAGGGGGAGCGGCCACACUGGGACGGGGACACGGCCCAGACUGCUACGGGAGGCAGCAGUAGGGAAUCUGCGGCAAUGGACGGAAGUCUGACCGAGCAACGCCGCGUGAGUGAGGACGAUGUUCGGAUCGUAUAGCUCUGUUGUUAGAGAAGCGGUAACUAACCGGAAAGGGACGGCUAACUACGUGCCAGCCGCCGCGGUAAUUC
rnacentral:rRNA from 1 species